UACGUAGGGGGCAAGCGUUGUCCGGAAUCAUUGGGCGUAAAGAGCGUGUAGGCGGUCCGGUAAGUCGGUUGUGAAAGUCCAGGGCUCAACCCUGGGAUGCCGACCGAUACUGUCGGACUAGAGUUCGGAAGAGGCGACUGGAAUUCCUGGUGUAGCGGUGAAAUGCGCAGAUAUCAGGAGGAACACCGGUGGCGAAGGCGGGUCU
rnacentral:rRNA from 1 species